AAGUAGGGGGCAUUUGUAAUCAUUUAAAAUUUAUUAAAUAUAAAUUUAUAAAAUGAUUCGGAUUAUAUUAAAUUCAUUAAUAUAUUAGUCCAAAUAAAUAUUAUGGAUUAAUAUAAUUGAGUUAAUUAUUUAAAUUCAAUAAAUAUGAAUUUAAUUAAGGCCCGCUCCAUAAAGCUCAUAUGUCAUGUCACUUAAAUCUGAUUGGCCGAA
rnacentral:lncRNA from 1 species